rnacentral:rRNA from 1 species
UACGGGGGGGGCAAGCGUUGUUCGGAAUUACUGGGCGUAAAGAGCUCGUAGGUGGCUUGUCGCGUCUGCCGUGAAAGCCCGUGGCUUAACUACGGGUCUGCGGUGGAUACGGGCAGGCUAGAGGCUGGUAGGGGCAAGCGGAAUUCCUGGUGUAGCGGUGAAAUGCGCAGAUAUCAGGAGGAACACCGGUGGCGAAGGCGGCUUGCUGGGCCAGUUCUGACGCUGAGGAGCGAAAGCGUGGGGAGCGAACAGG